CCCCUGCUGAGGAGUCCCAUACUAGGACGAAAUGACCAUCCAGUGU
rnacentral:hammerhead_ribozyme from 1 species